AUGGCCUGAGAGGGUGCCGGCCAAGAAAGAAGCCCCUACUCCAAAAUCAACACCUUCAAGCGAGACUGAAAUUUGCAGUCGACAUGGACAGCCCA